rnacentral:rRNA from 1 species
CAGUGGCGAACGGGUGAGUAACACGUGGGCAAUCUGCCCUGCACUCUGGGACAAGCCCUGGAAACGGGGUCUAAUACCGGAUACGACCUUCCUCUGCAUGGGGGUUGGUGGAAAGCUCCGGCGGUGCAGGAUGAGCCCGCGGCCUAUCAGCUUGUUGGUGGGGUAAUGGCCUACCAAGGCGACGACGGGUAGCCGGCCUGAGAGGGCGACCGGCCACACUGGGACUGAGACACGGCCCAGACUCCUACGGGAGGCAGCAGUGGGGAAUAUUGCACAAUGGGCGAAAGCCUGAUGCAGCGACGCCGCGUGAGGGAUGACGGCCUUCGGGUUGUAAACCUCUUUCAGCAGGGAAGAAGCGCAAGUGACGGUACCUGCAGAAGAAGCACCGGCUAACUACGUGCCAGCAGCCGCGGUAAUACGUAGGGUGCNGAGCGUUGUCCGGAAUUAUUGGGCGUAAAGAGCUCGUAGGCGGCCUGUCGCGUCGGAUGUGAAAANCCCGGGGCUUACCCCCGGGUCUGCAUUCGAUACGGGCAGGCUAGAGUGUGGUAGGGGAGAUCGGAAUUCCU